rnacentral:rRNA from 1 species
UACGGGGGGGGCAAGCGUUGUUCGGAAUUACUGGGCGUAAAGGGCUCGUAGGCGGCCAACUAAGUCAUACGUGAAAUCCCUCGGCUUAACCGGGGAACUGCGUCUGAUACUGGAUGGCUUGAGUUUGGGAGAGGGAUGCGGAAUUCCAGGUGUAGCGGUGAAAUGCGUAGAUAUCUGAAGGAACACCGGUGGCGAAGGCGGCAUCCUGGACCAACACUGACGCUGAGUGAGCGAAAGCCAGGGGAGCAAACGGG